CAGCUAGCUUAUUCACCAACAUAACCAAACAAUAUAAAUAAAAUAGAAUAAACCAAAUACCAAAAACUAAACCAUUCUUUUACCUGAGUAUGGGAGACAGAAAAGGUUCAACCAAAGCAAUAGAAAUAGUACCGCAAGGGAAAGCUGAAAGAGAAAUGAAAUAACCCAUAUAAGUACUAAAAAGCAAAGAUUAAACCUUGUACCUUUUGCAUCAUGAUUUAGCCAGUAAACACAAGCAAAGAGACCUUUAGUUUGAAACCCCGAAACCAGGUGAGCUACCCCGAGACAGCCUAUUAAGGGCCAACCCGUCUCUGUGGCAAAAGAGUGGGAAGAGCUCCGGGUAGAAGUGACAGACCUACCGAACCUGGUGAUAGCUGGUUGCCUAAGAAAUGAAUAGAAGUUCAGCCUCGUACACCUCAAAUCAAACAAGCACUAACCAAGAUAUCAAGAGAAAAAUACGAGAGUUAGUUGAAGGGGGUACAGCCCCUUUAACAAAGGAUACAACCUUAUCCAGGAGGAUAAAGAUCAUAAUAUAUAAAAUAUACUGUUCUAGUGGGCCUAAGAGCAGCCACCUAAACAGAAAGCGUUAAAGCUCAGACAGAAAGAAGUUUAUUAUUCUGAUAAAAAAUCUUACUCCCCUAAAUACUAUUAGGCUAAUCCAUGCCCCCAUGGAAGAAAUUAUGCUAAAAUGAGUAACAAGAAGGCUCGCCCUUCUCCCAGCACAAGUGUAAGCCAAACCGGACCAACCAUUGGCAAUUAACGAACUCAACCCAAGAGAGCAAUGUGAACCAUAAAAAAAACAAGAAAAACCCACACUUAACAAUCGUUAUUCCCACACUGGAGUGCUAUUAAAGGAAAGACUAAAAGAAAAGGAAGGAACUCGGCAAACACAAGCCUCGCCUGUUUACCAAAAACAUCGCCUCCUGCAACAUAACCAUGUAUAGGAGGUCCAGCCUGCCCAGUGACUACAAGUUCAACGGCCGCGGUAUUUUGACCGUGCAAAGGUAGCGCAAUCACUUGUCUUUUAAAUAGAGACCUGUAUGAAUGGCUAAACGAGGGCUUAACUGUCUCCCCUUUCAAGUCAGUGAAAUUGAUCUGCCCGUGCAGAAGCG
rnacentral:rRNA from 1 species